UACGUAGGUCCCGAGCGUUGCCCGGAUUUAUUGGGCGUAAAGCGAGCGCAGGUGGUUUAUUAAGUCUGGUGUAAAAGGCAGUGGCUCAACCAUUGUAUGCAUUGGAAACUGGUAGACUUGAGUGCAGGAGAGGAGAGUGGAAUUCCAUGUGUAGCGGUGAAAUGCGUAGAUAUAUGGAGGAACACCGGUGGCGAAAGCGGCUCUCUGGCCUGUAACUGACACUGAGGCUCGAAAGCGUGGAGAGCAAACAGG
rnacentral:rRNA from 1 species